rnacentral:rRNA from 1 species
UACGGAGGAUGCAAGCGUUAUCCGGAAUGAUUGGGCGUAAAGCGUCCGCAGGUGGCAAUGUAAGUCUGCUGUUAAAGAGUCUAGCUCAACUAGAUAAGAGCAGUGGAAACUACAUAGCUAGAGUACGUUCGGGGCAGAGGGAAUUCCUGGUGUAGCGGUGAAAUGCGUAGAGAUCAGGAAGAACACCAGUGGCGAAGGCGCUCUGCUAGGCCGUAACUGACACUGAGGUGCGAAAGCGUGGGGAGCGAACGGG